rnacentral:rRNA from 1 species
AUGAACGCUGGCGGCGUGCCUAAUACAUGCCAGUCGAGCGAACAGACGAGGAGCUUGCUCCUCUGACGUUAGCGGCGGACGGGUGAGUAACACGUGGAUAACCUACCUAUAAGACUGGGAUAACUUCGGGAAACCGGAGCUAAUACCGGAUAAUAUAUUGAACCGCAUGGUUCAAUAGUGAAAGACGGUUUUGCUGUCACUUAUAGAUGGAUCCGCGCCGCAUUAGCUAGUUGGUAAGGUAACGGCUUACCAAGGCGACGAUGCGUAGCCGACCUGAGAGGGUGAUCGGCCACACUGGAACUGAGACACGGUCCAGACUCCUACGGGAGGCAGCAGUAGGGAAUCUUCCGCAAUGGGCGAAAGCCUGACGGAGCAACGCCGCGUGAGUGAUGAAGGUCCUCGGAUCGUAAAACUCUGUUAUUAGGGAAGAACAAAUGUGUAAGUAACUAUGCACGUCUUGACGGUACCUAAUCAGAAAGCCACGGCUAACUACGU